rnacentral:rRNA from 1 species
CCUACGGGAGGCAGCAGUGAGGAAUAUUGGUCAAUGGACGCAAGUCUGAACCAGCCAUGCCGCGUGCAGGAAGACGGCUCUAUGAGUUGUAAACUGCUUUUGUAAGAGGGUAAAGGCAGAGACGUGUAACUGUCUGAAAGUAUCGUACGAAUAAGGAUCGGCUAACUCCGUGCCAGCAGCCGCGGUAAUACGGAGGAUGCAAGCGUUAUCCGGAUUUAUGGGGGUUAAAGGGUGCGUAGGCGGUCGGCUAAGUUAGAGGUGCAAUCCCGUGGCUCAACUUCGGAAUUGCCUCUGAUACUGUUCGGCUAGAGCGUAGUUGCGGUAGGCGGAAUGUAUGGUGUAGCGGUUAAAUGCUUAGAGAUCAUACAGAACUCCGCUUGCGAAGGCAGCUUACCCGGCUACUUCUGACGUUGAGGCACGAAAGCGUGGGUAGCAAACAGGAUUAGAUACCCUUGUAGUC